AUACUUACCUGACGAGAUACACCUCGAUCGUAAAGGUGGUUAUUUCAGGGUGAGGCUCAGCCAUUGCACUCUGGCUGUGUUCACCCCUGCGAUUUCUCACCCCUGCUAUUUCUCCAAAUGCAGGAAAUUCAACUGCAUUAAUUUAUGGUAGUGGGGAACUGUGUGCAUGCUUUCCCCUA
rnacentral:snRNA from 1 species